UCUCCUCUCUUCAGGCUGCAGGCAGGGAAGCGUACUGGAGGGUGGCUGCCGGGGCUUGGCGUGAGUUCUUGAUGGCAUGGUGAGGGAGCAAGACAUCAUCAGGUUUACUUACUGAUGUGGCCUCUGCGUCCCGUGCGCUGGUGGUGCAGUCCUCUCAGAUCAGACACAAGCAGGUAGUUGUAGAUACCGUAUCUUCAAACGAGUUACUCAUAGCAUCUACAGAGUGGGCCAAUAUUCGAAAAGAGCACAAGACUUGAGGAUUUGAGCAUGCUUGUAGGCUAGAAGCAUCAACUUCAGACUUCGUCACUUGUUGACAGUCUAAAAUUGACCCUGAACUGAUAUGGGCACUUGCUAAGCAAGAUGUCAAAGACAAGCACCAGCUGAAGAUGAAAUAGAAAAUACAGCCGGUAAAGGCACCAACGAAGGAAAACCUUCAAG